rnacentral:rRNA from 1 species
GAUGAACGCUCGCGGCAGGCCUAAUACAUGCAAGUCGAACGGGAUCCAGAUCAAAGCUUGCUUUGGUCUGGUGAGAGUGGCGCACGGGUGCGUAACGCGUGAGCAACCUACCCUUGUCAGGGGGAUAGCCCGGCGAAAGUCGGAUUAAUACCGCAUGACAUCAUUGAGAGGCAUCUUUCGAUGAUCAAAGAUUUAUCGGACAAGGAUGGGCUCGCGUGACAUUAGCUAGUUGGUAAGGUAACGGCUUACCAAGGCUGCGAUGUCUAGGGGCUCUGAGAGGAGAAUCCCCCACACUGGUACUGAGACACGGACCAGACUCCUACGGGAGGCAGCAGUAAGGAAUAUUGGUCAAUGGACGGAAGUCUGAACCAGCCAUGCCGCGUGCAGGAAGACGGCCCUAUGGGUUGUAAACUGCUUUUAUACGGGAACAAACGUCGGUACGUGUACCGGUCUGAGUGUACCGUAAGAAUAAGGAUCGGCUAACUCCGUG